rnacentral:rRNA from 1 species
AGAGAGAGACAUGCGCGCAUAUCAAUAAGCGGAGGAAAAGAAACUAACUAGGAUUCCCUCAGUAACGGCGAGUGAAGCGGGAAGAGCUCAAAUUUGAAAUCUUCAAGGUUCUACCUUGACGAAUUGUAGUUUAAAGAAGUGUUUUCUGUUGGAGUUUUGGUAAAAGUUCUUUGGAAUAGGACAUCAUAGAGGGUGAGAAUCCCGUAUUUGACCAUUAUUUCCAACUUUGUGAUACACUUUCAAAGAGUCGGAUUGUUUGGGAAUGCAGUCCAAAAUGGGUGGUAAAUUUCAUCUAAAGCUAAAUACUGGCGAGAGACCGAUAGCGAACAAGUACCGUGAGGGAAAGAUGAAAAGAACUUUGAAAAGAGAGUUAAACAGUACGUGAAAUUGUCAAAAGGGAAGCGUUUGACACCAGUGUUGUUUUCUCGAAAAUCAAUUAAAAAUGGCGGGAUUUUGUGUUGUAUUGACCUUUAUCAAGCUUUCUUCACUUUUUUCCUGUCUUUUUUAAUGCACUUUUCGUUUAACAAGUCAACAUCAGUUUCCUUUGUUGUAAAAGGGUCAUUGGAAGGUGGCUUUCCUUUCGGAGAAAGUGUUUAUAGCCUUUGAUCUUCUGCAAUCGGAGAGAUUGAGGUCUGCAGCGUAGACUCCUUCGGGGUUAGAUACAUUUGUGCUAAGUUAUAGCCUUUUCAUAGACAACUUGUUGACUAUGAUUCAGUCAUGUAGGCUUACUCGCUUAUGUCAUUUACCUACGCUUAGGAUGUUGACAGCAGUAUAGACUG